rnacentral:rRNA from 1 species
AUUGAACGCUGGCGGCAGGCCUAACACAUGCAAGUCGAACGAGUGGCGGACGGGUGAGUAAUGUCUGGGAAACUGCCUGAUGGAGGGGGCUAACUACUGGAAAAGGUAGCUAAUACCGCAUACCAUCGGAUGUGCCCAGAUGGGAUUAGAUAGUAGGUGGGGUAAAGGCUCACCUAGGCGACGAUCCCUAUCUGGUUUGAGAGGAUGACCAGCCACACUGGAACUGAGACACGGUCCAGACGCCUACGGGAGGCAGCAGGUGGGAAUAUUGCACAAUUGGCGCAAGCCUGAUGCAGCCAUGCCGCGUGUAUGAAGAAGGCCUUCGGGUUGUAAAGUACUUUCAGCGGGGAGGCGUUACCCGCAGAAGAAGCACCGACUAACUCCGUGCCAGCAGCCGCGGUAAUUC